UGGGGAAUAUUGGACAAUGGGCGCAAGCCUGAUCCAGCCAUGCCGCGUGUGUGAAGAAGGCCUUAGGGUUGUAAAGCACUUUCAGUGGGGAGGAAGGGUGUUGUGUUAAUAGCACGGCAUUUUGACGUUACCCACAGAAGAAGCACCGGCUAACUCCGUGCCAGCAGCCGCGGUAAUACGGAGGGUGCAAGCGUUAAUCGGAAUUACUGGGCGUAAAGCGCACGCAGGCGGCUUUUAAGUCGGAUGUGAAAGCCCCGGGCUCAACCUGGGAAUUGCAUCUGAUACUGGGAAGCUAGAGUAUGUGAGAGGGGGGUAGAAUUCCAAGUGUAGCGGUGAAAUGCGUAGAGAUUUGGAGGAAUACCAGUGGCGAAGGCGGCCCCCUGGCACAAUACUGACGCUCAGGUGCGAAAGCGUGGGGAGCAAAACAGGAUUAGAUACCCUGGUAGUCCACGCCGUAAACGAUGUCUACUAGAUGUUCGUGGUCUUGUACCGUGAGUAUCGCAGCUAACGCAUUAAGUAGACCGCCUGGGGAGUACGGUCGCAAGAUUAAAACUCAAAUGAA
rnacentral:rRNA from 1 species